rnacentral:rRNA from 1 species
UACGGAGGGGGCUAGCGUUGUUCGGAAUUACUGGGCGUAAAGCGCACGUAGGCGGCCUGAUAAGUCGGGUGUGAAAGCCCUGGGCUCAACCCAGGAAGUGCACUCGAAACUGUCAGGCUUGAAUAUGGAAGAGGGUCGCGGAAUUCCCGGUGUAGAGGUGAAAUUCGUAGAUAUCGGGAGGAACACCAGUGGCGAAGGCGGCGACCUGGGCCAAUAUUGACGCUGAGGUGCGAAAGCGUGGGGAGCAAACAGG